rnacentral:lncRNA from 1 species
AGUGUGACUGGUGCCUACUCCAAGCUUCUCACAUAUACAGUUAAUAUCAAAAGCUGAGAUUUUCUCUACUUUUUCUCCAGAAAGAUUCUCCUGUGUAUUGAACUCCAUGUUCUGAGCUGCCUAGGCUUCCACUGGCCAAAUGAACUCAAGACCCUCAAACCUAUGAAUGAAGCAAUGUGAUGCCCCAGGUUGUGUGGAUUCAAAUGACUUAUCUGGAUGGAUUAGAGGCUACAGUCUUCUGGUAGAAAGGUGAAGAACCCAGUAGAUACUCAAUCCACACAUCUGGAUGUCUCACCUGGUAUCCAUCCUAUGAUAAACCACACAAAAUAAUUAUAUACAGAAACAAUGCCUCUGUAUCAAGACAGAAGACAAGCUGAUGAGAAUAAA